GGAGAACUCUUAAGAUCGCAAGACCUUGCGCUUUUGGAGCGGCCGAUCUUUGAUUAGCUAGUUGGUGAGGUAAAGGCUUACCAAGGCGUCGAUCAGUAGCUGGUCUGAGAGGACGACCAGCCACACUGGGACUGAGACACGGCCCAGACUCCUACGGGAGGCAGCAGUGGGGAAUUUUGGACAAUGGGGGAAACCCUGAUCCAGCCAUGCCGCGUGAGUGAAGAAGGCCUUCGGGUUGUAAAGCUCUUUCAGCCGGAACGAGACGGUCACGGUUAAUACCCGUGACUACUGACGGUACCGGAAGAAGAAGCACCGGCUAACUACGUGCCAGCAGCCGCGGUAAUACGUAGGGUGCGAGCGUUAAUCGGAAUUACUGGGCGUAAAGCGUGCGCAGGCGGUUUUGUAAGUCAGAUGUGAAAUCCCCGGGCUUAACCUGGGAACUGCGUUUGAAACUACAAGGCUAGAAGGG
rnacentral:rRNA from 1 species